CCCGGCACAAGCGGUGGAGCAUGUGGUUUAAUUCGACGCAACGCGAAGAACCUUACCAGGGCUUUGACAUCCUCUGACCGCAUAUGAAAGUAUGUUUUCUGGCUUCGGUCAGACAGAGAGACAGGUGGUGCAUGGUUGUCGUCAGCUCGUGUCGUGAGAUGUUGGGUUAAGUCCCGCAACGAGCGCAACCCCUACGUUUAGUUGCUAACGUGUAACGAUGAGCACUCUAGGCGGACUGCCGUUGACAAAACGGAGGAAGGUGGGGAUGACGUCAAAUCAUCAUGCCCCUUAUGUUCUGGGCUACACACGUGCUACAAUGGCCGGUACAAAGGGACGCAAAGCCGCGAGGUGGAGCAAAUCCGAUAAAAGCCGGUCUCAGUUCGGAUUGCAGGCUGCAAUUCGCCUGCAUGAAGUCGGAAUCGCUAGUAAUCGCAGGUCAGCAUACUGCGGUGAAUACGUUCCCGGGCCUU
rnacentral:rRNA from 1 species